rnacentral:rRNA from 1 species
UACGAAGGGGGCUAGCGUUGCUCGGAAUUACUGGGCGUAAAGGGCGCGUAGGCGGACAGUUUAGUCAGAGGUGAAAGCCCAGGGCUCAACCUUGGAACUGCCUUUGAUACUGACUGUCUUGAGUUCGGGAGAGGUGAGUGGAAUGCCGAGUGUAGAGGUGAAAUUCGUAGAUAUUCGGCGGAACACCAGUGGCGAAGGCGACUCACUGGCCCGAUACUGACGCUGAGGCGCGAAAGCGUGGGGAGCGAACAGG